rnacentral:rRNA from 1 species
UACGGAGGAUCCAAGCGUUAUCCGGAAUCAUUGGGUUUAAAGGGUCCGUAGGCGGUUUAAUAAGUCAGUGGUGAAAGCCCAUCGCUCAACGGUGGAACGGCCAUUGAUACUGUUAAACUUGAAUUAUUAGGAAGUAACUAGAAUAUGUAGUGUAGCGGUGAAAUGCUUAGAGAUUACAUGGAAUACCAAUUGCGAAGGCAGGUUACUACUAAUGGAUUGACGCUGAUGGACGAAAGCGUGGGUAGCGAACAGGAUUAGAUACCCUGGUAGUCCACGCCGUAAACGAUGGAUACUAGCUGUUGGGCGCAAGUUCAGUGGCUAAGCGAAAGUGAUAAGUAUCCCACCUGGGGAGUACGUUCGCAAGAAUGAAACUCAAAGGAAUUGACGGGGGCCCGCACAAGCGGUGGAGCAUGUGGUUUAAUUCGAUGAUACGCGAGGAACCUUACCAAGGCUUAAAUGUAGUUUGACCGGUUUGGAAACAGAUCUUUCGCAAGACAAAUUACAAGGUGCUGCAUGGUUGUCGUCAGCUCGUGCCGUGAGGUGUCAGGUUAAGUCCUAUAACGAGCGCAACCCCUGUUGUUAGUUGCCAGCGAGUCAUGUCGGGAACUCUAACGAGACUGCCAGUGCAAACUGAGAGGAAGGUGGGGAUGACGUCAAAUCAUCACGGCCCUUACGCCUUGGGCUACACACGUGCUACAAUGGCCGGUACAGAGAGCAGCCACUGGGCGACCAGGAGCGAAUCUAUAAAACCGGUCACAGUUCGGAUCGGAGUCUGCAACUCGGCUCCGUGAAGCUGGAGUCGCUAGUAAUCGGAUAUCAGCCAUGAUCCGGUGAAUACGUUCCCGGGCCUUGUACACACCGCCCGUCAAGCCAUGGAAGCUGGGGGUGCCUGAAGUCGGUGACCGCAAGGAGCUGCCUAGGGUAAAACUGGUAACUAGGGCU